GGCGGGGUAGCUCAGAUGGUCAGAGCGCACGACUCAUAAUCGUGAGGUCGCGGGUUCAAUCCCCGCCCCCGCUA
rfam:Actinotignum schaalii strain CCTG 27420 chromosome, complete genome.